rnacentral:ncRNA from 1 species
ACUCUAUCCAUCACGGGCGUAGGAGACUUGAGAGGAGCUGUCCUUAGUACGAGAGGACCAGGAUGGACGGACCUCUGGUUUACGAGUUGUUGCGCCAGCAGCAGUGCUCGGUAGCUAUGUCCGGAAGGGAUAACCGCUGAAAGCAUCUAAGUGGGAAGCCCACCUCAAGAUAAGGUCUCCCGUUCCGAUCCACUUCGGUGGAGAAGACCUAAAGACUACCUGAAGAUGACGGGUUUGAUAGGCCACAGGUGUAAGUACAGUAAUGUAUUGAGCCAAGUGGUACUAAUCAGUCGUGUGGCUUGGAUUU